rnacentral:lncRNA from 1 species
UAGUCGGGCUCACCACCACUGAGCCAUGAUGGGAUCUUCCAGCAAAGUCUUAACAUGACUUAGUGAUAGAAAGGAAAGCUCUCAGGAUAAUUUUCAAGAGAGUCUUCUAUUUGGAAAAAUGUCUGUCUUACUAAAAAUAUAACAAUGAAACCAUACCAAAUAUCAUAAUUUUGGAAGUAGAAUUUUGAUUAACUUGCUCAGAACGAAAUUUGUCAGAAAAGAGCUGUCAGCUGUGAUACAAUGGUGCUGAAAAUGUCUGUAGAGUCACAGAGAAAUUCACUCUCACAUUUUGCAGAAAAGUUGAUUAAUUCCUCGUGAAGAACAGAGAAACAAUGAUUCGCACUGCUGGCAACAACAAUGGCAUGAUGCAACACCCUGGCUACCGGCAGGUGUGGUCGGUAAUGGAUGGGACUGAAUUUGGAGCCAUCUCAAAGGUUUACUUUGGACCCCCUCUGAUGUUUCAAAGCUCUUGGUUUUGGCAAGCCUGUCAUUUGCCAGUUGUCAAAUAAGUUGAGUCAUUAGUCUGGCCUUGUCAUCUGGGAGCCUCCACAUGAUUGAUAUGGCUCUGCUACCCUUCCCAAUGGGAUAAUUAAGUGUCCACUAAGCCCUAUCUACCUGGUUUUAUAAAAGUAAAAGUAAAAUCCAGACAGAUAUGCCAUUCCUUUUUCUAUGUGUAAAAGCAGCAAGCUGGGAAAAUGCAUCUGAAGAAGCUAUUUGCUUUUAAUAUUCAGUCUCAAAAGGACAAAUUUCCUGUUGGCAAAAUCAAACCUUGCAAUUUUUUUUUCGGACUAACCAAAUAAUCUCCUCCAUUUGUCCAUUUUGCAGAGUGGUUUUGUAUACAUUUUUCUUUCUUCACAGCAAUCCCGUGAAAAGGACAAGCAUUAUUGUCCUCAUGUUACAGAUAAAUAUCCUGAAACUCAAAUCAUUUUAAGGUCAUAUUCAGUUCCUCUGACUAUUCUAAUCAUCUCCUGCCGUAUCAGGCUGUUAAACAUCCUGUUAUACAUAAAGGAUGUCAGAAUAUUGCAUCUUCCUCUGUGCUGUUCUCCCAUCUGGGGUUUAUUUCUAGAGUAUAUAGUUUUAGACAAACUUGUUUGCCAAAAUACUGGGAUCCUUUAGGGGAACCUCUUGGGAAGGGGGCUAAGCAAGUCUGGGUCAUCCCUUUCCAGAAUAGAGAACUUACUUCCGAGGCGGGGCAACAAACAGCGUAAAUUGCAGAGUAGGAUGGAAAGUGAUAACUCAAUCCCCAAAUUGAUGAGAAAUCUAUGAGGCGUUCUCUACUUGCCUACACAAAUGGUUCCUUUCAAAGGCAAGUUGCUUAUUGUCUCCAAUAUAAUGUGGCUUUUGGACAGUGUCCAGUCAGCAAAGUAGAAACUCAUAUUUGGCAAGGUGAACCCAGCCAUGGUUUCCUGGCGUGCUGAAUCAAUAGGAAAUGACUUUGGAAAAAUACAGCAACGACAGCAAUAAAUGGCUUUGAACUUUUUCAGCCAAACACUGUAUAAAGUGAACUGCCAAGAAUUUCCCCCUUGAUAUCCCUUUUUGGAUGAUAACAUAUGACUAUAAACUUUUGCCCUGUAUACACUCUGUGGCCUUCAUUCUUCAGACUUGCUUAAACCAACAUUCUUGCUAGAGCAGAAAGUUCAUUCCUCUAAGGACCUUUAGUUUUCUUCAUUCUUGCCCAGUCAGGUCCCAUAUUCCAAUGAUGUUGCCGCCAUCUUGGCUCCCAUUCCUGUCACUAUCUUUUCUCUAUACCUCUGUUUUUUUUUUUUUUUUUUUCCUGUUUUGAGUAUCAAGAUAAAUCUCAAAAAAAAAAAAAAAAGUUACCAUGUAAUUCCUCACUCAUAUGAGUUGCCUGGCUGUCGGGGAAAAUGAAUGGGUGGGGAUGGAAGGAGGACGAACGACUGAUUGAACAGACUUAGGAGCAGUGGGACUUGGGGUUGGGUCAUGGAGAACUGGCAGAGAGGAGCUGUGGAGGCUACAGCUUCAUUCUCUGGAAAUCAGUGGUGGAGCCUGAAGGGGUCAGUUUAUUGAUGGUGGUUUCCUUUUCUAUUUGCUUUAUCACUUUGGUUUUGAGGUGGUAAUAUUUUGAUUUUGCGACUAUUUUAUAAUGGAAAAACACUUUUAGAGUGAAGAAAACAAAACAAAACAAUUUGCAGUGAUGGCCUGGGGUUGAAUCUCACGUAUACAUAAACUACAAGCUUUCCUCUUGUUUCUUGGACACUUCUGGGCAAUUCUGGAGAAGACUUCUAAGGCAUAGACACAAUGGACUCUGUUCCAUUUUUGGAUUAUUAAGUUUUCAGAUAAAACUAAGUAGACUAUACCAAGCACUAGACACACUUUCUCCUCUUAUAUCCUCUUUCUACCAGAUCAAUGAAUAUGAGUAUUUUUUAAACAUAGUCUAGACCCAGCUAAAAACAAGGAGCAUGAAAAUGUCUUGCCAGUCAAGACCUACGCACAUUUCCUCAGUGUUGGUGAUGAUGAGUCUAUUUAUUGAGCACUUAAUAUCUGAUAAGCGUGAGG